CCGGUUUGUUACGUAGGUAAAUGUGUGCCAUUGUGGUUUUCUGUACCUAUCAACCCACUGCCUAGGUAUUAAGCCCAGCACGCAUUAGCUAUUUUUCCUGAUGCUCUCCCUCCCCCUACCCCGCCCCUCCUGACAGGCCCCAAUGAAUCACUGCAACUUUGAACUCCUGGGCUUAAGUGAUCCUCCUGCCUCGGUCUCUCAAAGUUCUGGCAUUAUAGGCAUGAGCCACUGCACCUGGCCUCACAUAAAAUUUUAAAUAUCAUCCAGUAAGAAAGACCAUAUACAAAAUUAAAAUUAUGAAUGAGAAAUUGAAAAGAUAUUUGUAACAUAUAUGAUAGACAAGGAAAGCCAGUAAAGGCAGUGUUUAAGAGCAUAGGCUCAGAAAUGAGAUUGCAUAGGUUCAGAUAUUAACUACACCACAUCCUUAGUCUUUUGACCUUAGGCAAGUUAUUUAACGUCCUUGGGCCUCAAGUUUCCUCAUCUAUAAGAAGGAGGUAAUAAUAAAUCUAUUUUCUUGGGUUAGCUGAGAACUAUUAUAAUUGCCCAUGAUAUAUCAAAGGUUAAUUAAAUCAAUAAGAUAAGCGGAACUGAUCUACUAGAUAUUGAACAUGAAUAAAAACCUAUCUAUCCAUUUCAUCUUAUUUUCAGCUACUCCUUGGCACAAAUCUUACAUAUCAAAUUGUCCUGGUCCACAUUCUCUUUAAAUUGGGUGUAGAUUUCUGUGAUGGUUAAUUUUCGAUGCCAGCUUGACUGAGUUAAGGGAUACCCAGCUGGUAAUAACUGGUAAAGCAUUAUUCCUAAGUAUGUCUGUGCAGCUGUUUCUGGAAGAGAUUGGCAUUUGAAUUAGUGGACUCAGUAAGGAAGAUCCACCCUCCCCCAUGGAUAAGCAACAUCCAAUUGGCUGAGGGCCUGGAUAGAACAAAAGGGCAAGAGAAAGCUGAAUCUGCUCGCUCUUCUGGAGCUGAGACACUCAUCUUCUCCUGCCCUGGCACAUCAAAACUCCAGGUUCUCUGAUCUUUGAACACUGGGACUUAAUCCAGCAUCCCCUUACUGCCUGAAGUUCUCAGGACUUUGGACUUGGACUGAACGAUGCUACCAGCUUCCCUGGCUUUCCAGCUUGUAGAUGGCGUAUCAUGGAAUUUCUCAGUCUCCAAAGUAAUGAACAAGCAACCAAGAACCACAAAAAUCACUGGCCACUGACAAAUGACACUUCAAGAGGAAUACAGGCUUAAUAGCUGCGAACACAGGUUCGUUGAACAAAUGAAUAAUUUUGAAUGAUUCUUGCAUCUCCAUUUGGUAUUGUCCUUCCUUUUUCUUCUUUUUUCUUUCACUUCUACCCACCUACCAACCUCACAAAGUGUCCAGUACCUCACCCUAGAAUAGGUGAUACCUCUAGGAUACCUCACCAUAGAAUUCUGACUAGAAUUAACCCUACACAGUCAGCUCUAUAACUGUAGAGUAUUACCCACACCACCAAAAUAUUCUUCAUCAGAAUGUCCUGAGUUUGAUACAGUAAUCCAUGCUUAUAUGUCAAUGGAUGCUCCCCUCCUGGAUCAAAUAAGGUAGGUUUCAUAGGAAGAGAGACAAUAGAGCUUUAAACAAAUGGAGUUGACUUACAAAAAUUUUAACGUCCAAUGCAGCCAGUGAGGGAGAUCCUUUGAGGCAUUUAGGAACCUGUAGCAAUCUUUAAAUCAUAACAGAAUAGAAAAGAAGACCUACGAAUAGAAUAGGCUUACUAUAUUGAAUAAUAUGUAAAUUCAUAUACCUUUCACCAUACCUUGCCUUCUUACCUUCUAUCCUCCAAAUUUGUCAAACUGAAGACAUUAAAGUUGGUAAAUAUAUUUAUGACAAUUAGUCUUACUACUAUGAUUAACUAGUUUCAGAUUCUGACCAGCGCUUAUAUAACAUAACUCCCCAAUCCUGAAUUUUCUCAUUGUGCUAUUCGUCUGAUUACAAAAGAAAAUAUAUUUUUGUAAAAAUUUAGAAAAUAUAGAAAGUUUAAAUAAGAAAAUGGCAGUAAAUCAAACGCAUAAUCCAAAUAGCCAGAAAGAACCAUUAUUAAUAUCUAGAUAUAUUUCUUCUCAGUCUUUCCCUAAAAACUAUAAUUAUAAAAAUAUAUACACAUAUAAUAUAUACUUGCCUAAUUUAAUCAAUAUCCUAAAAAUAAACGUUUAUCUGUCCUACAUAUGUAACAUAGUUUAUGUAAUAAUUUUCCUGUUCUUAGACAUUUAAAUUAUUUCAAAAUUUUAAUUAUAAGAAACAGUGAGCAAAACAUGAUGAUAUAAGAAAUUUUAUUAUCAUCUCUACUUAUUUCCAUAAAAAAUCCUGUAAAUGCAACUAUUGGGUAACAGAAUAUAAAUAUUUCAAGACUUCUCAUAGUUUACUAAAAUUACACUCAAACAGUAGAAAUAGUAAAUAUGUGGGUAAGUAUAUAAAUAACAAAUAUAUGUAUAUGUUUCUUUCCUUAUUGAAAACACAUAUGACUGUUUAAAGCAAAAAAGUAUGACACUUCGCUCUCCUUCUCCCUCUCCCUCUCCCUCUCCCUCCCCCUCCCCCUCCCUCUCCCUCUCCCU
rnacentral:lncRNA from 10 species